rnacentral:lncRNA from 1 species
CAGAGAUCACCCUAGGAAUGUGCACAGGGGGCAGCUGCCGGUGGAGGGUGUUUGGCUGCUAGGAAAAAUGGCUGCCAGGGGUCCUGUAAAGCAAAGCUUGCUUGGAGAAUGGGCGAAGAUGUAUGUAUGGAGGAGCUGAGACACUCAAAGGAUUAACCCCCUGGCCCAGGUCACCGACUUGUCGUGGAGUUCAUUGGAAUGUGAUGGGAAGGAGGAGAAGAAGGAGAAGGUGAUGGAGAGUCUCCUGGAGGCAGCUGAAUUUUUGGCAUGGCCGAGAAGACCUGGGGUGGACCCUUGACCCGCAUUGGGCCCACUCUUGCUUCUCUCCCGGGAACUAAGACUUAGGAUUUAUGAAUGCUGGUCUGUCUGUGCAGGAAUGGUGUGUGAGGGUAUGUAAGCUAGGGAACUGAGUGGUGACAUCUGCCCUGGACACUGGGAGGACAUUUGGGAAAGAUGGAGCAGCAAGUAGAGAGAGAAGCAGAGAUGGGGGAGCAAUUCAAGGGGAGAGUGAGA